UACAGAGGGUGCAAGCGUUGUUCGGAAUUAUUGGGCGUAAAGGGCGCGUAGGCGGUGCGUUAAGUCUGUAGUGAAAUCUCUGGGCUCAACUCAGAGUCUGCUGCAGAAACUGCCGUGCUUGAGUGUGGGAGAGGUGAGUGGAAUUCCCGGUGUAGCGGUGAAAUGCGCAGAGAUCAGGAGGAACACCGGUGGCGAAGGCGGGUCUCUGGGCCAUAACUGACGCUGAGGAGCGAAAGCGUGGGGAGCGAACAGG
rnacentral:rRNA from 1 species